UACGUAGGGCGCAAGCGUUGUCCGGAAUUAUUGGGCGUAAAGAGCUCGUAGGCGGUCUGUCGCGUCCGUUGUGAAAACUCGAGGCUCAACCUCGGGCUUGCAGUGGAUACGGGCAGACUAGAGCGCGGUAGGGGAGACUGGAAUUCCUGGUGUAGCGGUGGAAUGCGCAGAUAUCAGGAGGAACACCGAUGGCGAAGGCAGGUCUCUGGGCCGCAACUGACGCUGAGGAGCGAAAGCAUGGGGAGCGAACAGG
rnacentral:rRNA from 1 species